AUGGAAGCUCCAGCCCCAGAUUGGUCCGGGCUACCAGCGGACAUAUUGAUCAGCAUAUUCCAGUUGCUCCAGUGCCCGGACCUCCUCCGAUCCGCCGCCGUCUGCACAUUCUGGCAAAAGGCGUACUCCACGCUCCGCCGCAGCAGCGUCUGCCCCAGUCGGCAGACCCCCGGCUUACUCUAUUGUACCGAGGCCGCCUGUGCGAAGGCUCUUGGCAUGUACAGUCUCUCCGAACGGAAGGACUACUCCAUGCCCCUCCCUGAACCUCCCAUCAGCAACUGGAUUGGCUCAUCACAUGGAUGGCUAGUCACCAUGGAUGAGAAGUCUGACCUGAUGCUUCUCAACCCUAUCACCGGUGACAAGAUUGCACUCCCUCCUGUGACAACCAUGGAGCAUGUUAAACCUAUCGUAAACGAAGACGGGAUUCUUGAAAAGUACAAGCUGUCUUUCUAUGACGGACAGCUUCCGAGGGUGGAGGAUACACCCUAUGCAUGCCCUUUGGAUAGGUAUGGAGAUCUGGUCUAUCUGAAGGCAACUUUGUCGUCCGAUCCAUCGGCAAGGGAAUGCACUGUCAUGCUCAUCCAUCAGCCGUACGCGCAGCUCUCAUUCGCCAGAGUGGGAGAUGCUCACUGGAACUGGCUCCAAAUGCAUAGUUUCUAUGCAGAUUGCAUACACCAUGAUGGCUGUUUCUACGCAAUGACUGAGGUAGGCGCAAUCGAUGAGUUUGAUUUGAACGGACCAUCUGUCGUCCACAGAAGGAUUUUACCAAAUCUAGUUGGGAUGGUCCAGAAGUGCUACAUUGUUCUGGCACCAUGGGGAGAUUUCCUCCAAAUCAUUAAGGAGGAGAGUUUGGAUCCUGAACAACCAGAUGGUGAGACGUAUGUCACUGCUUAUGAAGUGUACAAGGUUGAUUUUGUUGAGCUGAAGCGUGUCAAAAUGAGAGGGAUAGGUGAACAUGCAUUGUUCACUGGGAAAAGCACAACAUCUUGCUUUAGCGUAAAGAAUCAUCCAGGCUUGAUGGAAAACCAUCUAUAUUUUACUCAUGAUGAUCACGAAGAAUUACUCAGCGGCAAAGAUGAUCCACGUGACAUAGGAGUGUACGACUUGGAAAAUGAUACCAGAACCAAUUUGGUUGAUCCUGAACCCUGGAGGACGUGGUUCCCUCCCAUAUGGUUCACACCCAAUCUUGCAAAAGCAGAUGCCAUGUGCGCCUGCACCCAAGGGGUGUCGACUUCUGCAAGUACAAGUGUGGUCACAGCAAGCAGCUGGCCCAAGAAGAAGAUCAAGAAGUAG
rnacentral:rRNA from 1 species